UGAGGAAUAUUGGACAAUGGGCGAAAGCCUGAUCCAGCCAUGCCGCGUGUGUGAAGAAGGUCUUCGGAUUGUAAAGCACUUUAAGUUGGGAGGAAGGGCCAUUACCUAAUACGUGAUGGUUUUGACGUUACCGACAGAAUAAGCACCGGCUAACUCUGUGCCAGCAGCCGCGGUAAUACAGAGGGUGCAAGCGUUAAUCGGAAUUACUGGGCGUAAAGCGCGCGUAGGUGGUUUGUUAAGUUGGAUGUGAAAUCCCCGGGCUCAACCUGGGAACUGCAUUCAAAACUGACUGACUAGAGUAUGGUAGAGGGUGGUGGAAUUUCCUGUGUAGCGGUGAAAUGCGUAGAUAUAGGAAGGAACACCAGUGGCGAAGGCGACCACCUGGACUGAUACUGACACUGAGGUGCGAAAGCGUGGGGAGCAAACAGGAUUAGAUACCCCAGUAGUCCCUGAGCGGGCUGGCAAGGCGCAU
rnacentral:rRNA from 1 species